AGUGAACGCUGGCGGCGUGCCUAAUACAUGCAAGUCGAACGGAGUGUCGCACGGGUGAGUAAUAUAUAUCUAACUUCCCCAUUACUAAGGGACAACAGUUUGAAACGACUGCUAAUACCUCACAGUAAUGGAUAGGGCUAUAUCGUAUCAGCUAGUUGGUAAGGUAACGGCUUACCAAGGCUAUGACGGGUAACUGGUCUGAGAGGAUGAUCAGUCACACUGGAAGUGAGACACGGUACGGAAUCCUACGGGAGGCAGCGGUAGGGAAUAUUGCUCAAUGGGGGAAACCAUGAAGCAGCUACGCCGCGUGGAGGAUGACACUUUUCGGAGCGUAAACUCCUUUUCUUGGGAAAGCGGUACCCAAGGAAUAAGCACCGGCUAACUCCGUGCCAGCAGCCGCGGUAAUAC
rnacentral:rRNA from 1 species